GGAACAUCCGGUUGCUGGGGACUGGGCGAGGCUAGGGUUACCACUGCCACAAAGACCUGAGCCCUAGGACCAUGCCCCAGGACUACCUGACAUGAUGACUCCUUGCUGUCCCCAGUCCACCUGGCUGUGCUGCUACUCCAGUUUCAACUGUUCUACCUUAUUAUUAUUCGACCAUGCUGGACCUGAGCCCUAGGACCAUGCCCCACGACUACCUGACAUGAUGACUCCUUGCUGUCCCCAGUCCACCUGGCCGUGCUGCUGCUCCAGUUUCAACUGUUCUGCCUUAUUUUUAUUUGACCAUGCUGGUCAUUUAUGAACAUUUGAACAUCUUGGCCAUGUUCUGUUAUAAUCUCUACCCGGCACAGCCAGAAGAGGACUGGCCACCCCACAUAGCCUGGUUCCUCUCUAGGUUUCUUCCUAGGUUUUGGCCCUUCUAGGGAGUUUUUCCUAACCACCGUGCUUCUACACCUGCAUUGCUUGCUGUUUGGGGUUUUAGGCUGGGUUUCUGUACAGCACUUUGAGAUAUCAGCUGAUGUACGAAGGGCUAUAUAAAUAAAUUUGAUUUGAUUUGAUUUGAUCAAGCCUACUGUAGUGUCGUCUGCAAACUUGAUGAUUGGGUUGGAGGUGUGCAUGGCCACGCAGUCAUGUGUGAACACUGAGUACAGGAGAGUGCUCAGAACGCACCAUUGUGGGGCCCCAGUGUUGAGGAUCAGCGGGGUGGAGAUGUUGUUACCUACCCUCACCACCUGGGGGCGGCCCGUCAGGAAGUCCAGGACCCAGUUGCACAGGGCGGGGUCGAGACCCUGGGUCUUGAGCUUAAUGACGAGUUUGGAGGGUAGUAUGGUGUUAAAUGCUGAGCUGUAGUCGACGAACAGCAUUCUUACAUAGGUAUUCCUCUUGUCCAGAUGGGUUAGGGCAGUGUGCAGUGUGAUUGCGAUUGGGUCGUCUGUGGACCUAUUGGAGCGGUAAGCAAAUUGCAGUGGGUCUAGGGUGUCAGGUAGGAUGGAGGUGAUAUGGUCCUUGACUAGUCUCUCAAAGCACUUCAUGAUGACGGAAGUGAGUGCUACUUAUUUUCCACCAUAAUUUGCAAAUAAAUUCAUAAAAAAUCCGACAAUGUGAUUUUCUAGUUGAUAUGUGAUUUUCUAGUUGAUUUUCUAGGUCAACUAUGACCUGUAGUUGAGGUGUACCUAUGAUGAAAAUUACAGAACUCUCAUCUUUUUAAGUGGGAGAACUUGCACAAUUGGUGGCUGACUAAAUACUUUUUUGCACCACUGUAUUUUGGUUAGGUCAGGGUGUGACGUGGGUGAUCUAUGUGUUUUUUUAACUGUCUAGGGUUUUUUGUAGGUUUAUGGGGUUGUCUACCAUCUAGGUGUUUAUGUAUGUCUAUGGUUGCCUAGAUUGGUUCUCAAUUAGACGCAGCUGUUUAUUGUUGUCUCUGAUUGGGAACCAUAUUUAGGCAGCCAUCUUCUUUGGGUAUUUCGUGGGUUAUUGUCUAUGUUAUGUUGCAUGUUUGCUCUCAGUUUUGAUCGCGGCCACGGUCGUCUUGUUGUUAUUUUGUUUGUUUGUCUAGUGUACUUCGUGUUUUUUGUCUUUCAUUAAAAAGAUGUAUUCCCAUCACGCUGCGCUUUGGUCUCCUCACUACAACGAUCGUGACACCCGGUCUCUAUUUUUCUCACUCGCCUGGUUUUGACCCUUGCCUGUCCUGUCUCCGAGCCCGCCUGCCCGACUACUCUGCCUGUCCUGACCCUGAGCCAACCUGCCAUCCUGUACCUUUGCCCCUAUACUCUGGUUUAUCAACCCCUGCCUGCCUUGACCUGUCGUUGU